rnacentral:rRNA from 1 species
AUUGAACGCUGGCGGCAGGCCUAACACAUGCAAGUCGAGCGGCAGCGGGACCUUCGGGUCGCCGGCGAGCGGCGGACGGGUGAGUAAUGCCUAGGAAUCUGCCUGUUAGUGGGGGAUAACGCGGGGAAACUCGCGCUAAUACCGCAUACGUCCUACGGGAGAAAGUGGGGGACCCUCGGGCCUCACGCUAACAGAUGAGCCUAGGUCGGAUUAGCUAGUUGGUGGGGUAAAGGCCCACCAAGGCGACGAUCCGUAACUGGUCUGAGAGGAUGAUCAGUCACACUGGAACUGAGACACGGUCCAGACUCCUACGGGAGGCAGCAGUGGGGAAUAUUGGACAAUGGGCGAAAGCCUGAUCCAGCCAUGCCGCGUGUGUGAAGAAGGUCUUCGGAUUGUAAAGCACUUUAAGUUGGGAGGAAGGGCGCUCGGUGAAUACCCAGGCGUCUUGACGUUACCGACAGAAUAAGCACCGGCUAACUUCGUGCCAGCCGCCGCAGUAACAC